GACGAACGCUGGCGGCGUGCUUAACACAUGCAAGUCGAACGGUAAGGCCCUUCGGGGUACACGAGUGGCGAACGGGUGAGUAACACGUGGGUGAUCUGCCCUGCACUUCGGGAUAAGCCUGGGAAACUGGGUCUAAUACCGGAUAGGACCACUGCCUGCAUGGGUGGUGGAAAGCUUUUGCGGUGUGGGAUGGGCCCGCGGCCUAUCAGCUUGUUGGUGGGGUGACGGCCUACCAAGGCGACGACGGGUAGCCGGCCUGAGAGGGUGACCGGCCACACUGGGACUGAGAUACGGCCCAGACUCCUACGGGAGGCAGCAGUGGGGAAUAUUGCACAAUGGGCGCAAGCCUGAUGCAGCGACGCCGCGUGAGGGAUGACGGCCUUCGGGUUGUAAACCUCUUUCAGCACCGACGAGGCGCAAGUGACGGUAGGUGCAGAAGAAGGACCGGCCAACUACGUGCCAGCCGCCGCCGUAAUAC
rnacentral:rRNA from 1 species